ensembl:snRNA U6 U6 spliceosomal RNA
GUGCUCACUUUGGCAGCACAUAUGCUAACAUUGGAACAAUACAGAGAAGAUUAGCAUGGCCCUUGCACAAGGAUGACACACAAAUUUGUGAAGCAUUUCAUAUUUUU